rnacentral:rRNA from 1 species
GAUGAACGCUGGCGGCGUGCCUAAUACAUGCAAGUCGAGCGAACAGACGAGGAGCUUGCUCCUCUGACGUUAGCGGCGGACGGGUGAGUAACACGUGGAUAACCUACCUAUAAGACUGGGAUAACUUCGGGAAACCGGAGCUAAUACCGGAUAAUAUAUUGAACCGCAUGGUUCAAUAGUGAAAGACGGUUUUGCUGUCACUUAUAGAUGGAUCCGCGCCGCAUUAGCUAGUUGGUAAGGUAACGGCUUACCAAGGCAACGAUGCGUAGUCGACCUGAGAGGCUAAUCGGCCACACUGGAACUGAGACGCGGUCCAGACUCCUACGGGAGGCACCAGUAGGGAAUCUUCCGCAAUGGGCGAAAGCCUGACGGAGCAACGCCGCGUGAGUGAUGAAGGUCUUCGGAUCGUAAAACUCUGUUAUUAGGGAAGAACAAUUGUGUAAGUAACUAUGCACGUCUUGACGGUACCUAAUCAGAAAGCCACGGCUAACUACGUG